rnacentral:rRNA from 1 species
AGUGGCGACCGGGUGAGUAACACGUGACUAACCUACCCUCGAGUGGGGAAUAACUUCGGGAAACCGGGGCUAAUACCGCAUAACAUCUUCGGGAUGCGAGUCCUGUUGAUCAAAGGAGUAAUUCGCUUGAGGAGGGAGUCGCGGCUGAUUAGCUAGUUGGCGGGGUAAUGGCCCACCAAGGCUUAAAUCGGUAGCCGGCCUGAGAGGGCGCACGGCCACACUGGAACUGAAACACGGUCCAGACUCCUACGGGAGGCAGCAGUGGGGAAUUUUGCGCAAUGGGGGAAACCCUGACGCAGCAACGCCGCGUGGAGGAUGAAGUCCCUUGGGAUGUAAACUCCUUUCGACCGGGAAGAUACUGACGGUACCGGUGGAAGAAGCACCGGCUAACUCUGUGCCAGCAGCCGCGGUAAUACAGAGGGUGCGAGCGUUGUUCGGAAUUAUUGGGCGUAAAGGGCGCGUAGGCGGUCGGGUAAGUCACCUGUGAAAUCUCCUGGCUCAACUGGGAGCUUGCAGGCGA